AGGGUUCGAUCAUGGCUCAGAACGUACGCUGGCGGCACGCCUAACACAUGCAAGUCGAACGAAGUAGCAAUACUUAGUGGCAGACGGGUGAGUAACAUGUAGGUAUCUACCCUUUGGCCUGGAAUAACACGAGGAAACUUGUGCUAAUACCGGAUAAGUCUUUACGGAGAAAGCUUUAUGCACCAUUGGAUGAGCCUGCACUUGAUUAGUUUGUUGGUGGGGUAAUGGCCUACCAAGACUGUGAUCAAUAGCUGAUUUGAGAGGAUGAUCAGCCACAUUGGGACUGAGACACGGCCCAAACUCCUACGGGAGGCAGCAGUGGGGAAUCUUGCACAAUGGAGGAAACUCUGAUGCAGCGAUGCCGCGUGAGUGAAGAAGGCCUUUGGGUUGUAAAGCUCUUUCGUCGGGGAAGAAAAUGACUGUACCCGAAUAAGAAGGUCCGGCUAACUUCGUGCCAGCAGCCGCGGUAAUAC
rnacentral:rRNA from 1 species